UUGCACCUACGGGAGGCAGCAGUGAGGAAUAUUGGUCAAUGGCCGAGAGGCUGAACCAGCCAAGUCGCGUGAGGGAUGACGGCCCUACGGGUUGUAAACCUCUUUUGUCGGGGAGCAAGACCCGCCUCGUGCAGGCGGAGCGAGAGUACCCGAAGAAAAAGCAUCGGCUAACUCCGUGCCAGCAGCCGCGGUAAUACGGAGGAUGCGAGCGUUAUCCGGAUUUAUUGGGUUUAAAGGGUGCGCAGGCGGGAGAUCAAGUCAGCGGUAAAAUGUCGGGGCUCAACCCCGGCCGGCCGGUGCAACUG
rnacentral:rRNA from 1 species